UGUGUGGUUAGAAAAACCCGAGACGUUUCUGAGCAGAGGUGAUAUCUGAGCUGAGGGACAUUCUGUAGAAAAAGCACAGACUGUGCAAAGACCUAAAGAUCGGAAAGAUUAUAACUCAUCAUUGAAAUUGCAAGUUGCACCCUACAAGAUUCUGAUGUGCACCAAAUAGGCAGAGAUCUCACCGAGUCCCUCUGACGGUGCAUUUUCUGCAAGCUUUAUCCCAGAAGAGUGACCAAGGAAUCACAUACCCCAUGUGGCUUCUCCAACCUCUACGAACUCUUCCAAACUUCACGUUCGAGAUCAUCAGCUGAGCAGUGAGAAAAACUUUCAGGCUAUCACCAUUGGAACGUCGUCUGAAAAUCCAGUUAUCAUAGGAGCGUCUUCAUCGUCUUCCCCUAAAGACAAACAGUCAUUCCUUGAUUAUCUUCAAGUACUUCCUGGUCCUGGAAUUUCUCUGGAAAGAAACGGAUGGGAUGCCAGGUUGAGGAAGCAGUUUUGCUGCCCGGUUCUAGAGCCACAGUCACCCCACAUACUGUUUGAGAAAGAGGAGCCCUUGGUUCCAAAGCUCAAGCCCAGCCUGGCCUCAGGAGGCACAGCAAGCUCCAGCGCGUUUCCCUCUCUACCGGGGAAGACAAGUUCAGAAAAUGAAAAGUGCUUAGUGCAGAGAUUCUCAUCUUAAUGGACAGUAUAAACUUUUCACUAAUUAGCAACCCCACAGAAAAUGACCCUUUAAUUCUCAAGUUCACUUCCUUGUCCUAUUCUUUUUACUCAAUCUAUGCCAGCAUACUGUUAAUGAGCUCAUCUCUAAAACAGCAUUUCAAUGAGAUUCCCGAAGUCCUUGAGAAUGAGGGAGGUGCUUACCCUGCUUUCAUUAAAAUGCUUCUCCUUCAGAGCAAGACUUUUCCAAAACAGAAGAACGUGGUCAUUUUCUGUUAUAAUUUUUAAGGCAUCAGGUGCUGAUAACGAAACUGAAAGUUGAAGAUGAAACAGGAUACAGUUAGUGCUUGCACAUUUGAACCUUUGUUUUUUCAUCCAUUAAAGGGAGAUUAAAUAAUGCUACCUUGACAGGAUCCAGGAAGAACUGUGCAACACACAUAAGCCAAUAGUAUGUCUGCCACGGGCUAUGCUCUAUAGGGCAUCUCUUGCUGUUCUUAUAAAAGCUUUA